CGACUCCAUGAAGCUGGAUUCGCUGUAAUCGCGCAUCAGCCACGGCGCGGUGAAUACGUUCCCGGGCCUUGUACACACCGCCCGUCAAGCCAUGGAAGCCGGGGGUGCCUGAAGUGCGCUGCCGCAAGGAGCGUCCUAGGGUAAAACCGGUGACUGGGGCUAAGUCGUAACAAGGUAAC
rnacentral:rRNA from 1 species